rnacentral:rRNA from 2 species
GGGAUCGCCCUUUCCGUAGGUGAACCUGCGGAAGGAUCAUUACUGAGUGAGGGCCCUCUGGGUCCAACCUCCCACCCGUGUUUAUUGUACCUUGUUGCUUCGGUGCGCCCGCCUCACGGCCGCCGGGGGGCUUCUGCCCCCGGGUCCGCGCGCACCGGAGACACCAUUGAACUCUGUCUGAAGAUUGCAGUCUGAGCAUAAACUAAAUAAGUUAAAACUUUCAACAACGGAUCUCUUGGUUCCGGCAUCGAUGAAGAACGCAGCGAAAUGCGAUAACUAAUGUGAAUUGCAGAAUUCAGUGAAUCAUCGAGUCUUUGAACGCACAUUGCGCCCCCUGGUAUUCCGGGGGGCAUGCCUGUCCGAGCGUCAUUGCUGCCCUCAAGCACGGCUUGUGUGUUGGGCUCCGUCCCCCCGGGGACGGGUCCGAAAGGCAGCGGCGGCACCGAGUCCGGUCCUCGAGCGUAUGGGGCUUUGUCACCCGCUCUGUAGGCCCGGCCGGCGCCAGCCGACAACCAAUCAUCCUUUUUUCAGGUUGACCUCGGAUCAGGUAGGGAUACCCGCUGAACUUAAGCAUAUCAAUAAGCGGAGGAAAGGGCGAUCC